GAUGAACGCUGGCGGCGUGCCUAAUACAUGCAAGUCGAGCGAACGGACGAGAAGCUUGCUUCUCUGAUGUUAGCGGCGGACGGGUGAGUAACACGUGGAUAACCUACCUAUAAGACUGGGAUAACUUUGGGAAACCGUAGCUAAUACCGGAUAAUAUUUUGAACCGCAUGGUUCCAAAGUGAAAGACGGUCUUGCUGUCACUUAUAGAUGGAUCCGCGCUGCAUUAGCUAGUUGGUAAGGUAACGGCUUACCAAGGCAACGAUGCAUAGCCGACCUGAGAGGGUGAUCGGCCACACUGGCACUGAGACACGGUCCAGACUCCUACGGGAGGCAGCAGUAGGGAAUCUUCCGCAAUGGGCGAAAGCCUGACGGAGCAACGCCGCGUGAGUGAUGAAGGUCUUCGGAUCGUAAAACUCUGUUAUUAGGGAAGAACAUAUGUGUAAGUAACUGUGCACAUCUUGACGGUACCUAAUCAGAAAGCCACGGCUAACUACGUG
rnacentral:rRNA from 1 species